UGACGUCCCAUGCUUUGACCCAUGGGCCUGGAGGAACUGCCUAUGUCUGAGAGUAAGGAUCACAGCGGGUCCAGGGAGGACUCUGUUUGUUCUCUCACCUUACCUGCUGCCUCAUUGGUUCACUAGUUAUAAAAGCACAGAAUGCUGAUGUCCCCUGUGCCUACUGAAUUAAGACUGAAAGACAUCGUUCUGACUGCAUCUCAGAGACAUUAGUCACCAUUUAAAUGGGCAUGCACAUAUUUACUGCCCUUUGCUCUUAUAAUGACACUACAGAUAUCUCUAGCAGGUACACGAACAUACUCAAUGUCACAUAUGGAAAAGGGAAGUCAUUUCUUCCUUGGAUGUCUGGUCUCAUUGGGAUGCUGUGGGUGGUGUUCCCACAGAUGGUGUGUCUGGCACAAGUCUUGAAGAUGUGUUCCAACUGCCCUUUCUUUUUUUUAAAGGUAAUGAAGAUGAAUGGUUCUGGCUGUUGUUUCUCACGAUUAACUCAUGGAGUUUGCUGGUUGUGGAGGGGAUCCAGCAAGCUCCGGCAGACAAAUCAGAAAUAGCCUCUAGAGUCUCUUCUUGUCUGAUGGAAGCAGGAGCUGCCAUGUGGUGAGUAUUUCCAAAAGGACAGCUCUGUCCCAGGCCCACAGGGUUUACUGAGAACUCAGCUCACUUGUCCGCUUGCUGUCCAACUCGUGCCCAUUUGGGUUUGUUUGGUUUUUUUUCCAGGUGAGAAAGUCUUAGGAGAAAACAAAUGAAGAAACAAACAAACAAACAAGAAACUUGCCUGCAGUGGCUAAU